rnacentral:rRNA from 1 species
GGCAGGUAGUCUGUCUAUCCAUGCAAGUCGAGCGGUAGCACAGAGAGCUUGCUCUCGGGUGACGAGCGGCGGACGGGUGAGUAAUGUCUGGGAAACUGCCUGAUGGAGGGGGAUAACUACUGGAAACGGUAGCUAAUACCGCAUAACGUCGCAAGACCAAAGUGGGGGACCUUCGGGCCUCAUGCCAUCAGAUGUGCCCAGAUGGGAUUAGCUAGUAGGUGGGGUAACGGCUCACCUAGGCGACGAUCCCUAGCUGGUCUGAGAGGAUGACCAGCCACACUGGAACUGAGACACGGUCCAGACUCCUACGGGAGGCAGCAGUGGGGAAUAUUGCACAAUGGGCGCAAGCCUGAUGCAGCCAUGCCGCGUGUGUGAAGAAGGCCUUCGGGUUGUAAAGCACUUUCAGCGGGGAGGAAGGCGAUAAGGUUAAUAACCUUGUCGAUUGACGUUACCCGCAGAAGAAGCACCGGCUAACUCCGUGCCAGCAGCCGCGGUAAUACGGAGGGUGCAAGCGUUAAUCGGAAUUACUGGGCGUAAAGCGCACGCAGGCGGUCUGUCAAGUCGGAUGUGAAAUCCCCGGGCUCAACCUGGGAACUGCAUUCGAAACUGGCAGGCUAGAGUCUUGUAGAGGGGGGUAGAAUUCCAGGUGUAGCGGUGAAAUGCGUAGAGAUCUGGAGGAAUACCGGUGGCGAAGGCGGCCCCCUGGACAAAGACUGACGCUCAGGUGCGAAAGCGUGGGGAGCAAACAGGAUUAGAUACCCUGGUAGUCCACGCCGUAAACGAUGUCGAUUUGGAGGUUGUGCCCUUGAGGCGUGGCUUCCGGAGCUAACGCGUUAAAUCGACCGCCUGGGGAGUACGGCCGCAAGGUUAAAACUCAAAUGAAUUGACGGGGGCCCGCACAAGCGGUGGAGCAUGUGGUUUAAUUCGAUGCAACGCGAAGAACCUUACCUGGUCUUGACAUCCACAGAACUUUCCAGAGAUGGAUUGGUGCCUUCGGGAACUGUGAAACAGGUGCUGCAUGGCUGUCGUCACCUCGUGUUGUGAAAUGUUGGGUUAAGUCCCGCAACGAGCGCAACCCUUAUUCUUUGUUGCCAGCGGUUAGGC